rnacentral:rRNA from 1 species
GGGGGCUAGCGUUGCUCGGAAUCACUGGGCGUAAAGCGCACGUAGGCGGGUUGUUAAGUCGGGGGUGAAAUCCUGGAGCUCAACUCCAGAACUGCCUUCGAUACUGGCGACCUUGAGUCCGGGAGAGGUGAGUGGAACUCCGAGUGUAGAGGUGAAAUUCGUAGAUAUUCGGAAGAACACCAGUGGCGAAGGCGGCUCACUGGCCCGGUACUGACGCUGAGGUGCGAAAGCGUGGGGAGCAAACAGG